rnacentral:rRNA from 1 species
UACUGCCAGACUUGGAACCGGGAGAGGUAAGAGGUACUACAGGGUAGGAGUGAAAUCUUGUAAUCCCUGUGGGACCACCUGUGGCGAAGGCGUCUUACCAGAACGGGUUCGACGGUGAGGGACGAAAGCUGGGGGCACGAACCGGAUUAGAUACCCGGGUAGUCCCAGCCGUAAACGAUGCUCGCUAGGUGUCAGGCAUGGCGCGACCGUGUCUGGUGCCGCAGGGAAGCCGUGAAGCGAGCCACCUGGGAAGUACGGCCGCAAGGCUGAAACUUAAAGGAAUUGGCGGGGGAGCACAACAACGGGUGGAGACCCUGCGGUUUAAUUGGACUCAACGCCGGACAACUCACCGGGGGCGACAGCAAUAUGUAGGCCAAGCUGAAGACUUUGCCUGAAUCGCUGAGAGGUGGUGCAUGG